GGUACAGCCAAUGGGCAGAUGUGUGCCUGAUCUUGUUACAUUAGUUUAAGCUAAGGAAGUUUUUGUUGUUGGUAAUAUUUUAGUUCUUUUUUAUCCAUGUUCGGCAUUGUCCCUUUUGUUCCUAAUAAUCUUAACGAAGCAUGCACCAGUCAGAUGUGCCAUUGGCGCAUGAUUUGACUAACUUUUGUUUUAAGGGCUUGUUGAUGAGCUUGAGCUCUGAACUUAUGUUGCCCUUUCAGUUUG
rnacentral:misc_RNA from 1 species